AAACAAACAGCAAAGGACGCAGAGCAGGUGGAAUCAGAACACAACACAACUUCUGUCACAGCGGACACAAUCAGAGCAGAGAAAAAUCUUCAUUGUGUUUUCAGACUGUGAACUGUAACGAUGCUGAAGAUCUGGUUCAUCCUCCUGUUGUUUGGUAGUGCUCCAGCAACAAGAUCAGCUGCCCAAACUACAACCACAGCUGCUCCGACGACUACAACCACAGCUGCCCCAACAACUACAACCACA